CUAAGGUUCCCUUGACUUCAAUUGAUAAGUGAUAAGUAAUGGCUAUACUUACUUUUUUAAAGUGAACACAGAACAAAUGUAAUUAUCUCCGAUGAAGAUCACCAUUACCAGGGAAUUUCAAAAACAGAAACAACUGAUACAAAUGUUUAUGAAAAGAUAAAAGACUCCAAUAAAGCAGAAAAUAGAGUGCAAUACCUGGAAUUAAUUGAUGUGUCAGAUGUUGAUAAGAAGACUGAAACAGUCAAUACUCAGGGUGAUGAGAGUAGCUACUCUAACAUUACAUAAUCUAAAAGAAAAAUCAGAAAGAAACACUGACAAAAAAUUAAACUUUCAAUUUUUCUUCAUAUAUUUGUUAAUAUUUAAAGCAUGAAGUUUUAUUUGAAUAAUUUAUUUCCACUUUGGGUUUCAGCGGCGAGAACUUUUAUAAUGGAUACUAGAGGUUACGCGGCGCGAAGUCAAAAGUAUCUCGACGUGAAUCUCUAUGCUUAACUGGAUUAGUAAAACUUCGUAUGAAAAACGUCAGUCAGCAUUUUGCUUAAUGAUUAAUUGCACUUGCUGACAAGAUCAUUGUGUCGACCAUAGAAUUUACAAAAUGAUCACUUUAAACGAAAAUGCUGAUAUUCCUGUUUCAGCAACUUGUUUGUCAAUAACUUACCUCUUUUUAAAAUAUGUUUACGUAGUCCAUGCUCUUGCUUAUUGAAGCAACUGACAGAUAUAAACCCUGUAUACAAGUGAUGAAGAUAUAUUGCUGCAUAAGUAAGGAAAGUCGACAAAUAAAAAGUUAAAGUCAUCACGUUUAU